rnacentral:rRNA from 1 species
CUAAGACUGGAUAGGAAGAAAUAAGGCAUCUUAUUUCUUUUAAAAGACCUAGUAAUAGGUAUACUUUAGGAGGGGCUUGCGCCAUAUUAGUUAGUUGGUAGGGUAAUGGCCUACCAAGACGAUGAUGUGUAGCUGGACUGAGAGGUUGAACAGCCACAUUGGGACUGAGACACGGCCCAAACUCCUACGGGAGGCAGCAGUAAGGAAUUUUCGGCAAUGGAGGAAACUCUGACCGAGCAACGCCGCGUGAACGACGAAGUACUUUGGUAUGUAAAGUUCUUUUAUCAAGGAAGAAAAGCAAGUGGCGAACCAUUUGUUUGCCGGUACUUGAUGAAUAAGCCCCGGCUAAUUAUGUGCCAGCAGCCGCGGUAAGACAUAAGGGGCAAGUGUUAUCCGGAAUUAUUGGGCGUAAAGGGUGCGUAGGCGGUCUAGUAAGUCAGUGGUGUAAUGGCAACGCUCAACGUUGUCCGGCUAUUGAAACUGCUAAACUUGAGUUAGAUAGAGGCGAGUGGAAUUCCAUGUGUAGCGGUAAAAUGCGUAAAUAUAUGGAGGAACACCAGAGGCGUAGGCGGCUCGCUGGGUCUUAACUGACGCUGAGGCACGAAAGCGUGGGGAGCAAACAGGAUUAGAUACCCUGGUAGUCCACGCCGUAAACGAUGAGUACUAAGUGUCGGGUUAAACCGGUACUGAAGUUAACACAUUAAGUACUCCGCCUGAGUAGUACGUACGCAAGUAUGAAACUUAAAGGAAUUGACGGGACUCCGCACAAGCGGUGGAUCAUGUUGUUUAAUUCGAAGAUACCCGAAAAACCUUACCAGGUCUUGACAUGUUUUUGCGAAACGGUAGUAAUAUCGUAGAGGUUAUCAGAAACACAGGUGGUGCAUGGUUGUCGUCAGCUCGUGUCGUGAGAUGUUAGGUUAAGUCCUAAAACGAGCGAAACCCUUAUCGUUAGUUGCCAGCACGUUAUGGUGGGGACUUUAACGAGACUGCCAGUGAUAAACUGGAGGAAGGUGAGGAUCACGUCAAAUCAGCAUGCCCCUUAUGACCUGGGCUACAAACGUGAUACAAUGGCUGUUACAAAGGGUAGCUGAAACGUAAGUUCUUGGCCAAUCCCCAAAAACAGUCUCAGUCCGGAUUGAAGUCUGCAACUCGACUUCAUGAAGUUGGAAUCGCUAGUAAUCGCGAAUCAGCAUGUCGCGGUGAAUACGUUCUCGGGGUUUGUACACACCGCCCGUCAAACCACGAAAGUUGGCAAUACCCCAAAAUGGUAGCCUAACUCGUUUAUUCGAGAGGGCGCUGUCUAAGGUAGGGUCGAUGAUUGGGGUUAAGUCGUAACA